UGGGGAAUAUUGCACAAUGGAGGGAACUCUGAUGCAGCGACGCCGCGUGAGUGAUGAAGGAAUUCGUUUCGUAAAACUCUGUUCUAUGGGAAGAAAAGGACUGUACCAUAGGAGAAAGCUCCGGCUAAAUACGUGCCAGCAGCCGCGGUAAUACGUAUGGAGCGAGCGUUGUCCGGAAUUAUUGGGCGUAAAGGGUGCGCAGGCGGCUUUACAAAUUGGAUGUGAAAUAUUGUGGCUCAACCACAAACGUGCAUCCAAAACUGCAAAGCUUGAGUUAAGGAGAGGUAAGUGGAAUUCCUGGUGUAGCGGUGGAAUGCGUAGAUAUCAGGAGGAAUACCGGUGGCGAAGGCGACUUACUGGACUUAAACUGGCGCUCAGGCACGAAAGCGUGGGGAGCAAACAGG
rnacentral:rRNA from 1 species